AAAGAGAUUACGAAAUGCGCAUGUUUGCUUUCAGUCAGCUGUUUUUUGCUUACGUCACGGUAGACUUAUUAUUCGCCCGCGAAAUGUGAAACUAUAUAUUUUUAAAAUGCGUUGCGCAGUGUACGGUUGUAAUAAUAACAAUGGCAAAAAUAGUGCUACGAAGUGGAGAUUUUUUCAUUUCCCUAAGGAUAAGGCCGCAGUAAAACAAUGGAUUAAUUUUUGUCGUCGGACGGACAAAAUUAACGUUAAAAAUGCGUGCAUUUGUGAAGUGCACUUCGCGCCAGAAGCCUUCGAAAGAAAUUUGCAGUUUGAAAUGGGUUUAAGUUCGCGGAAUCCAACGAAGUUGCUACCUAACGCUUUUCCCACGUUAACCACUGCUCCUGCAGAGGCUAAUGAACGGCAGAAAAGGAUGGAGUCUCGUUCCAAAAAAGAGAUGUUGGCAGCAAUCUUGAAGAAUACCGCCCCUGUUGAAGUAAUUCAAGAAGACGAAGUUGGAGAGGCACCUCAAACUGCAGAAGAGGAGGUCAUCGAUGAGAAAGACGAGAAAAUACUGCAUUUGGAAACAGAAAUACAAAGGCUGAAUAGUGUUGUUAGCACAUUGAAUAAAUGCAAAAACGAGCAGUUAGAAGAAAUUAAACGCCUUAAGAUUUCCAUUAAAACCGCGGAAUUCCAUAGAAAUAAUUUGGAGCAAAAACUUAGCAGCAUUUUCACCAACGGCCAGAUUGAAAAAUUAAGAGACGGAAACAAACGACGCAAUUGGAAAGAAGAAGACAUAGCUAUGUCGAUCACGCUAUAUUCAACGAGCCCGAAAGCGUACAAACUCUUAAGAAGAAACAACUUUCCUCUACCAGGUGUGCGCACUCUGCAAUGGUGGUCAAAGAAAAUUGGAAUAGCUCCAGGUGUCAAAAUAAAUAAUGUCAAAAUAGAAAAUUAAAUAAUACAAUGAAAAUGCAAUCAAAUGAAUAUGUAGGUAAAUGUUCACUUUAAAAUAUCACUUAUGUAUAUUGAUAUCUUUUAUUAAAAUCACUUAAUUUGAUGUUAACAUUUGAUGAAAUCAGCUGAUUGGACGUUCGUCAACCGUGACGUAGAUGCGCAGAACCUAGAAAAUUUGAACUCAUCUUUGCGCAAUCUUUGUUUCUAUCAUUCUUGAUCCUAUACCAUGUUUUCCUGGUUUCACUGGAAUAAAAGUAUUAACGAAAAUAUUAAAUUCAUAUUUCAUAUAUACAGAUAGUUAGUUGGCUUUGAGACCACUAAAGUCUCCAGGGAUCUUGUCUAAGAUAGUGAAGGAAUGCCUUGAUCUCUUGGUGGACCUGACAUCCUACUGCACGAUCAAUCUGCAAUGGGUUCUAAGACAUAGUCAUAUCACUGGGAACUGUGAAGAAGAUGAACUAGCCAAAACAUACACCACCCUACAGUUGGACUCUGGAAUAUUUAAUCGCCAAAUAUGUUAUAAAUAUACAAGUAUUAUAGUUAAGUCACGGUGGAAACAAUUCCUGACUUACUAACAGGCCGCACAUGCCGACUAUGUAAGUUUAAAAGGAAUGAUAUAAUAAUUCUAGUAGGAGUGCCAAAUCGUUACAGUCAAAUUGACAGACAUGUCAGCAUACUAGGAGACCUUUAAACAUCUUCUAUGUGUCUAUAAGGCUCUAUAUAGGAAAAUAUAUAGGAAAAUAAUAAUAGCUUCUCGAUAACGUCUCGGAGGUUGCUCAUUUAAAACUUUUUGUAUUGAUGAACUUUAUCAGACAACAACAACUUUAGUCUCGGUGAUAUUACAAGGGGCCUCCUAAAGGCCUAGGAGCAUCAUAAGACAACUAAUCUACCUAACCUAAUUUAUGUGAAUAACAAUGAGAACGCUUUCAUCAAGUUGUUCGCAUUUUGGAGGAGCGUUACCAGGGUCUUUGGAAUGCAAAUAUGAUGGCAGAUUGCUGCUGCAGCAUUCAAAACAAGACAACAUGUCUGUAUUUGACUGUAUGUCCAAAAUAUAGCUAAUUUGUGCGAUAUCUGAGUAGAAUUAAGGGGUCAUUUUCCUGAUGAUGUGUUUAAACCAAUUAAAUAUAAUUAUUUCCGUCAUUCUGAUCUAAUA